rnacentral:rRNA from 1 species
GAUGAACGCUAGCGGCAGGCCUAAUACAUGCAAGUCGAACGAUACCAGAGAGCUUGCUUUCUGGGAAAGUGGCGCACGGGUGCGUAACGCGUAUGCAACCUACCUUAAUCAGGGGGAUAGCCUCUCGAAAGAGAGAUUAACACCGCAUAACAUCAUUCUACGGCAUCGUAGAAUGAUCAAAUAUUUAUAGGAUUAAGAUGGGCAUGCGUGACAUUAGCUAGUUGGUGAGGUAACGGCUCACCAAGGCUACGAUGUCUAGGGGAUCUGAGAGGAUGACCCCCCACACUGGUACUGAGACACGGACCAGACUCCUACGGGAGGCAGCAGUAAGGAAUAUUGGUCAAUGGAGGCAACUCUGAACCAGCCAUGCCGCGUGCAGGAAGACGGCCCUAUGGGUUGUAAACUGCUUUUAUACGGGAAUAAACCUCUCUACGUGUAGGGAGUUGAAUGUACUGUAAGAAUAAGGAUCGGCUAACUCCGUGCCAGCAGCCGCCGUAA